GGGGGCUGAGGGAGAAGUGUUGAGGUGGCCCCUGCAGGACCUGGCUCUGAGUGGGGGCUCACUGAUAUUGGAGCAAGGAUGGGGAAAUAAGGAGAUGUGGGCUUCACCUUCUGUGACUGUCCUGGGGAGAAGGUGUUACAGUUUGGUGGCACUCUGGAGACUGUGAAGGACUGUCACAUCCUGCUCCUGAUGGAUUGGCCCUAAGCACAUGGCUGCCAGGAAUGCUGACCCAGCACAGAGGAGGAGGCCAGGAGUGAUGAAGCUGAAAAAAAUUGGCCUAGAGCUAUGAAGCCCUGGUGACUACUAUGUAAUGACGAUGGUGAUGUGAUUGGGAAGAUCCAGAGGGAUUCAUGGAGAUGGGAAGUCAACAACGGCCACAGAGUCAAUAGGAGUGGAGGCCCUGAUGAAAUUGGGUUCCAGAGUCCUCUGAUCAUCUUCCUCUAAUAUUUCCCCCCUUCUGU